rnacentral:tRNA from 1 species
UUCCUGGUGGUCCAGUGGCUAGGACUCUGCACUUCCAAUGCAGGGGGUGAGGGUUUGAUCCCUGGUAGGGGA